AUACUUACCUGGCAGGGCAAUUUCAUGAUCAGGAAGGUAAUUUCCCCAGGGUGAGGCUUGCCCAUUGCACUCCGGGGGUGCUGACUCUUGCGAUUUCCCCAAAUGUGAGAAACUUGACUGCACAAUUUGUGAUAGUGGGGGACUGUGCACUCUUCCCUA